UCCGUAGGCGGUGCGGCAAGUCGGAAGUGAAAUCUCUGGGCUUAACUCAGAGGCUGCUUCCGAAACUGCCGUGCUCGAGUGUGAGAGAGGCGAGUGGAAUUACGGGUGUAGCGGUGAAAUGCGUAGAUAUCCGUAGGAACAUCCGAGGCGAAAGCGGCUCGCUGGAUCACAACUGACGCUGAGGGACGAAAGCUAGGGGAGCAAACAGGAUUAGAUACCCUGGUAGUCCUAGCCCUAAACCAUCAGGACUUGGGGUUUGCCCUGUACGGGGCAAGUCCCGGAGCUAACGCAUUAAGUCCUGCGCCUGGGGAGUACGGUCGCAAGGCUGAA
rnacentral:rRNA from 1 species